rnacentral:rRNA from 1 species
UACGUAGGGGGCAAGCGUUGUCCGGAAUCAUUGGGCGUAAAGAGCGUGUAGGCGGCUCGGUAAGUCCGCUGUGAAAGUCCAGGGCUCAACCCUGGGAUGCCGGUGGAUACUGUCGGGCUCGAGUCCGGAAGAGGAGUGUGGAAUUCCUGGUGUACGGUGAAAUGCGCAGAUAUCAGGAGGAACACCAAUGGCGAAGGCAGCACUCUGGGACGUGACUGACGGCUGAGACGCGAAAAGCGUGGGGGAGCAAACAGGG